CAUUAUCGAAUUAUAAGCGAGGGUUGUCGCUGGCCUUGAAAGAGGCAUGUGCACGCCCGAGCUCUUAAAUCCACAACACACCUGUGAACCCACCGUAGGCCUUCGGGCUUAUGUAUCAUAUACUCUGAAUGUGUCAUAGAAUGUUCAUGUUGCCUUAAAACGCAAUCAAAUACAACUUUCAACAACGGAUCUCUUGGCUCUCGCAUCGAUGAAGAACGCAGCGAAAUGCGAUAAGUAAUGUGAAUUGCAGAUUUUCAGUGAAUCAUCGAAUCUUUGAACGCACCUUGCGCUCCUUGGUAUUCCGAGGAGCAUGCCUGUUUGAGUGUCAUUAAAUUCUCAACCCCACCGAUUUGCUUUGGGGGGAUUGGACUUGGAGUGUGCUGGCGAAGGUCGGCUCCUCUUUAAAUGCAUCAGUGGAGAGAAACUUGCCCCAGUGUGAUAAUCCUGUUGCGCUGUGGUGGGCGAAAGUCUGCUUCCAACCGUCCCUCCGGGGACAUACGUCAUCUCAUUUUGACCUCAAAUCAGGUAGGACUACCCGCUGAACUUAAGCAUAUCAAUAAGCGGAGGAAAAGAAACUAACAAGGAUUCCCCUAGUAACUGCGAGUGAAGCGGGAAAAGCUCAAAUUUAAAAUCUGGCGGUCGCUAUGGCCGUCCGAGUUGUAAUCUGGAGAAGUGUUUUC
rnacentral:rRNA from 1 species